CUGUGUCGGGUGGGGGGAAGGUGGGGGGAGGCAUCCCUCUGACCGAAGUCAAGAACCACCACUGGGUUGCGAUGCGGGCAGGCAGCGCAGUGGGAACAAAAAGUGGGAGGCAAGCAGGGGGACGCCUGAAGUCGCCAAAACGCACAGGAGAAGCCUGAAACGUCAUGGACAGCUGGUCGGCGAAGGAAGGCCGACACGGCCCCGUCUUCCUCCUCCGACCCCCGCAGUUUCUUCCCGCGCUUGGUCUCGGGCCCCGGAGGGAGGAAGCCGAGCGAAGAGACCCAUCUUACCUCUAGCCGCUGCCGCCGCUGCCAUGACGACCGGAGCAUCCUUUGCUGUUGCUGCCGCCGCCGGGUGCGUGCGUGUCUGCCUGCCUGUGAGAACGGCUCCCUCGCUCGCUCGCUCGCUCGCUCGCCCUCCACGUCCACGCCGCCUGCUGCCACUGUCCACAUGCGCACCCAACGCGACGGCCACCACCAAGCAGGGCUGGCGAGCGGCAGGAAGCGGCAGAGAGAGAGCUCGAGCGGGGGCUGUCGGGCGACCGCUGAGAGGGGGAAAAGGACACAGCCAGCCUUCCCAGCAACCCACCCACCGCCUUCUGCCGCCGUCGCCUGCUUUUAAUGGCUGCGGCCCCGCCGGCCCGGGCUCCGCCGCCGCCGCCUCUGCUGGCGCGCGCGAGUCUGUCCCCUUCGUUCGCGUCGCUGCUUCGCUGCCUGCCUGCCUGCUUCCCUCCCCUCGCCUGCCUCCCUCGGGAGAGCAGCCUGAUUACAGCUCAGGGCUCCUCAGGGAUUUGCGUCCCUCCCGAGGGAAAGAGGGAGAGGAGGAGAAAGAGGAGGAGACGCGCGGAGGGGGCGGCCGGCCGGCGGGCAGCCAGCCGGCCGGGCGCGCAUUGCGUGUGGUUGUCUCCCGCGUCGCUGUUCGCUCGCCCUUGCGGGGAUCCGAGGUGGCCGCACCGAANUCUGGGAGGCUGGCCUGGCAGGGACAGGUGAACUGUACUUGGUAAGGGAAUGCUGCAAGUCAAAUUAAAAGAAAUGACUGGAUGCUUUCACCCUGGAAUUAAGAAGAAGAANAAGAAGAAGAAGAAGGGAGAAAGGAUGAAAAAAACAAAAAUCAUGCCACUGUCAUUUACUUUGCCAAUUCAAAAGGGACAAUAAUGUGAUGCUCUCCCCUUGAGGAAUGUGACUCACCCAGUGUGGUGGAUGGGCACUGUCAACAUCACAGCUUCACACACAGCAGCAGAAAUAAACUUGACACUAGAAGGGGUCCCUAUGCUCA
rnacentral:lncRNA from 1 species